rnacentral:rRNA from 1 species
UACAGAGGGUGCGAGCGUUAAUCGGAAUUACUGGGCGUAAAGCGUGCGUAGGCGGUUAUUUAAGUCGGAUGUGAAAGCCCCGGGCUCAACCUGGGAAUUGCAUUCGAGACUGAAUAGCUAGGGUGCGGUAGAGGGAAGCGGAAUUUCCGGUGUAGCGGUGAAAUGCGUAGAUAUCGGAAGGAACAUCAGUGGCGAAGGCGGCUUCCUGGACCAGCACCGACGUUCAGGCACGAAAGCGUGGGGAGCAAACAGG